GAUGAACGCUAGCGGCAGGCUUAACACAUGCAAGUCGAGGGGUAUAGAGAGCUUGCUUUCUAGAGACCGGCGCACGGGUGCGUAACGCGUAUGCAAUCUACCUUUCACAAAGGGAUAGCCCAGAGAAAUUUGGAUUAAUACCUUAUAGUAUUACAGAAUGGCAUCAUUUUGUAAUUAAAGAUUUAUCGGUGAAAGAUGAGCAUGCGUCCCAUUAGUUAGUUGGUAAGGUAACGGCUUACCAAGACUACGAUGGGUAGGGGUCCUGAGAGGGAGAUCCCCCACACUGGUACUGAGACACGGACCAGACUCCUACGGGAGGCAGCAGUGAGGAAUAUUGGACAAUGGGCGCAAGCCUGAUCCAGCCAUGCCGCGUGCAGGAUGACGGUCCUAUGGAUUGUAAACUGCUUUUAUACAGGAAGAAACCCUCCGACGUGUCGGAGCUUGACGGUACUGUAAGAAUAAGGAUCGGCUAACUCCGUGCCAGCAGCCGAC
rnacentral:rRNA from 1 species